rnacentral:rRNA from 1 species
UUAUUGGGCGUAAAGCGAGCGCAGGCGGUNAGAUAAGUCUGAAGUUAAAGGCUGUGGCUUANCCAUAGUACGCUUUGGAAACUGUUUAACUUGAGUGCAGAAGGGGAGAGUGGAAUUCCAUGUGUAGCGGUGAAAUGCGUAGAUAUAUGGAGGAACACCGGUGGCGAAAGCGGCUCUCUGGUCUGUAACUGACGCUGAGGCUNGAAAGCGUGGGGAGCGAACAGGAUUAGAUACCCUGGUAGUCCACGCCGUAAACGAUGAGUGCUAGGUGUUAGGCCCUUUCCGGGGCUUAGUGCCGCAGCUAACGCAUUAAGCACUCCGCCUGGGGAGUACGACCGCAAGGUUGAAACUCAAAGGAAUUGACGGGGGCCCGCACAAGCGGUGGAGCAUGUGGUUUAAUUCGAAGCAACGCGAAGAACCUUACCAGGUCUUGGCAUCCCGAUGCCCGCUCUAGAGAUAGAGUUUUACUUCGGUACAUCGGUGACAGGUGGUGCAUGGUUGUCGUCAGCUCGUGUCGUGAGAUGUUGGGUUAAGUCCCGCAACGAGCGCAACCCUUAUUGUUAGUUGCCAUCAUUCAGUUGGGCACUCUAGCGAGACUGCCGGUAAUAAACCGGAGGAAGGUGGGGAUGACGUCAAAUCAUCAUGCCCCUUAUGACCUGGGCUACACACGUGCUACAAUGGCUGGUACAACGAGUCGCAAGUCGGUGACGGCAAGCUAAUCUCUUAAAGCCAGUCUCAGUUCGGAUUGUAGGCUGCAACUCGCCUACAUGAAGUCGGAAUCGCUAGUAAUCGCGGAUCAGCACGCCGCGGUGAAUACGUUCCCGGGCCUUGUACACACCGCCCGUCACACCACGAGAGUUUGUAACACCCGAAGUC